CGGAAGGCGGCGGCGGCCCGGAAGGCGACAUCGGACACGGGAGCCAGAAGGGGCGUUUCUGGCGCGCCACGCCUUGUAAGGGCGGAGCCACGCCCACACAGAGAGGCGUGGUCUCUCACCGGCGCGGGAAAAGGGCGGACAACGCGUACGCGCGCUCAGACAGCGAACGCGCGCCACGCAUUUAGGGGAGGUAUGGCGGCCGCGGCGGCUGCUGGGAGCGGGACGCCCAGAGAGGAGGAGACUAUCGGAGGAGAGGUAGCAGCUUCGCAGGCCCAAGCCCCGACGAGUGCACCCGGCGGGGCUCGCCUCUCGAGGCUGCCUCUGGCGAGAGUAAAGGCCUUGGUGAAGGCAGACCCUGACGUAACGCUGGCGGGACAGGAAGCCAUCUUUAUCCUGGCGCGUGCCGCGGAACUGUUCGUGGAGACUAUUGCAAAAGAUGCCUACUGCUGUGCUCAACAAGGAAAGAGGAAAACUCUCCAGAGGAGAGAUUUGGAUAAUGCAAUAGAAGCUGUGGAUGAAUUCGCUUUCCUAGAAGGCUCCUUCAAUCCAGUGCUUUUCCUUCACUGUGAACAUAAAAUGAGGCUGUUUUGGAAGCUGGUGGUUGUUACAUUGCAGCUUUACUUCAGGGUGAAGAGGAGCAGAUGUCAUGCUUGAGGCCCCACAGGCCAAAAUGCAGAAUGCUUCCUAGGAGUGUGACUGCCAGAGGCCACUCUGGUUUUCCCAGAUAGGCCACUUGGUUCUUUGAAGUACUUUGGAUUGAUUGUGGAGCUGGAUGAUUUUGUGAGCCUUAGCUGCAUCUGUCAUCUUUCCCCUCUGUAAGCCUCAGCUUUGGAGAGAGCCUGCGCAUGUACACCAUCUUAUUCUUUACCCAAGGUGGAAGAAGCAGAGACCUCUUAAAUAACAUUCUCCACAAAGUCUUCCAUUACUUGAGUCUGUCUUCCAAUUUAAGCUUGGCCGUGGCUGAUGCUGUUUAGGGCAGAGAUGAAAGGACCAUUCUGCAUAGGUAGUUUAAUGAGCAUGGAAGACUAGGAUGAAGGUCUUUGGUUAGCUUCACUCCUGUAUUUUAUAUUGCCUUUGCUCUUGCCCUGUGACUGGGAACCCAUGUGAUCAGGCACAGGCCUGCCUCAUCUUCCUACCAACCAUCCCCAGUCAGUCUUUUUAUUAAAUUUGUUCUUUCUCAGCAUGUCAUUGGAAUGUGGAUCAAGGGAUACCUCUUCUCCUUAAGAGUCAAAUCAAGUGGUCCCAACAGUUUUAUUGAAGAAUAAUUCAUGUGUCAUAUUCAAUUCAAACUGUAAAGUUCAGUGGCUUUUUAAAAAAUAUUCAUAGGUAUAUGUAUUGAGAUUUUGAACAUUUUCCUGUGAAUGGAUUGACAUGAGUCUUGUGUAUGAAAAAAUUUAGAUUAUGUUAUUUAAAUUUUAUCUAUGUUAUGAUAUGUAUUUGUACCCUUUAAGUUGUGAAAUGUAUAUAAUAUAAAGUUUCCCAUUUAAACUGCU